UACGGCCGCAAGGUUGAAACUCAAAGGAAUUGACGGGGACCCGCACAAGCGGUGGAUGAUGUGGUUUAAUUCGAUGCAACGCGAAAAACCUUACCCACCUUUGACAUGUACGGAAUUCGCCAGAGAUGGCUUAGUGCUCGAAAGAGAACCGUAACACAGGUGCUGCAUGGCUGCCGUCAGCUCGUGUCGUGAGAUGUUGGGUUAAGUCCCGCAACGAGCGCAACCCUUGUCAUUAGUUGCUACAUUCAGUUGGGCACUCUAAUGAGACUGCCGGUGACAAACCGGAGGAAGGUGGGGAUGACGUCAAGUCCUCAUGGCCCUUAUAGGUGGGGCUACACACGUCAUACAAUGGCUGGUACAAAGGGUUGCCAACCCGCGAGGGGGAGCUAAUCCCAUAAAACCAGUCGUAGUCCGGAUCGCAGUCUGCAACUCGACUGCGUGAAGUCGGAAUCGCUAGUAAUCGUGGAUCAGAAUGUCACGGUGAAUACGUUCCCGGGUCUUGUACACACCGCCCGUCACACCAUGGGAGCGGGUUCUGCCAGAAGUAGUUAGCUUAACCGCAAGGAGGGCGAUUACCACGGCAGGGUUCGUGACU
rnacentral:rRNA from 1 species